rnacentral:tRNA from 1 species
GCGCUUGGGCAAUCGGCCCUGCUCGGCGGCUGUUCUCGUGUCGUCUUUCGCUGUUGCGGGCACACAUCUUCUGACUACGGAUCAGAAGGUUGUGGGUUCAAGUCCCGCCGAGCGCA